GGGAGAGACUUAAAGGGCCGGCUCUCUCGGCGGCCGCGGGAUGCCCCCGCGCUGACCGCCGCGGGCCCGAGCCCGCCCGCGUAGACGCGCCGGGCCGACCCCGUGCCACCAUGUAAAACGGCGCCGCAGGCGGACUCUGGCUUCUCUGCCCGGGACCCCUCCGCCCUGCCCCGGGCUACAGAGCCCUCGAUGAGGACACACCAUGCUGACUGGGGUGACCGACGGGAUCUUCUGCUGCCUGCUAGGCGCACCGCCCAACGCUGUGGGGCCGCUGGAGAGCGUCGAGUCCAGUGAUGGCUACACCUUUGUGGAGGUCAAGCCUGGCCGUGUGCUGCGGGUGAAGCAUGCUGGGCCUGCCCCAGCCCCCAACCCACCUCCACCACUGCCAGAUGCUGCCCAGGGAGACCAGUCUGGCUUGGUCCGCUGCCAGCGCCGAAUUACCGUGUACCGCAAUGGGCGGUUACUGGUGGAGAACCUGGGCCGGGCACCUCGAGCUGACCUCCUGCAUGGGCAGAAUGGCUCCGGGGAGCCGCCGGCCGCCCUAGAGGUGGAGCUGGCCGACCCAGCGGGCAGCGAUGGCCGCUCAGGCUCAGGUGGUGCCGGGAGUGGCAGUGGCGGGCGCCGGCGGCGAGCCCGGCGCCCCAAGCGCACCAUCCACAUUGACUGUGAGAAGCGCAUCACAAGCUGCAAAGGUGCCCAGGCCGACGUGGUGCUCUUUUUCAUCCACGGUGUUGGCGGCUCCCUGGCCAUCUGGAAGGAGCAGCUGGACUUCUUUGUGCGCCUGGGCUAUGAGGUGGUGGCACCCGAUCUGGCCGGUCACGGGGCCAGCUCGGCACCCCAGGUGGCCGCAGCCUACACCUUCUAUGCGCUGGCAGAGGACAUGCGUGCCAUCUUCAAGCGUUAUGCCAAGAAGAGAAACGUGCUCAUUGGGCAUUCCUACGGUGUCUCCUUCUGCACGUUCCUGGCACAUGAGUACCCAGACCUGGUGCACAAGGUGAUCAUGAUCAACGGCGGGGGCCCCACAGCACUGGAACCCAGCUUCUGUUCCAUCUUCAACAUGCCCACCUGCGUCCUGCACUGCUUGUCACCCUGCCUGGCUUGGAGCUUUCUCAAGGCUGGCUUUGCCCACCAGGGCUGGCUUUGCCCGCCAAGGAGCCAAAGAGAAGCAGCUACUGAAGGAGGGCAAUGCGUUCAACGUGUCAUCCUUCGUCCUGCGAGCCAUGAUGAGUGGCCAGUACUGGCCUGAAGGCGACGAGGUCUACCAUGCUGAGCUCACUGUGCCCGUCCUGCUCGUUCAUGGCAUGCACGACAAGUUUGUGCCAGUGGAGGAAGACCAGCGCAUGGCCGAGAUCCUGCUGCUGGCUUUCCUGAAGCUCAUUGAUGAAGGCAGCCACAUGGUGAUGCUGGAGUGUCCGGAGACAGUCAACACGCUGCUCCACGAAUUCCUGCUCUGGGAGCCCGAGCCCUCGCCCAAGGCCCUGCCCGAGCCCCUGCCCGCGCCCCCAGAAGAGAAGUAGCCGCUGGGCCGGCCGGGCAUCGCUUGGUAAGCCGAGGAACAGCAGGAGGAAGCCAGGAGCCGCCCCUCGUCCGCAGCGCGGACCACCUGGGCGGGCCGUUCGCUCCGGUGGGCGGAGUCAGGUCAGCGAGACGCCCCCAGGCCGGCUGGGUAGGGCCAGGCAUUCUCCGGAGCCAAGUGGAUACACCGCUCUCCGCUUCCAUCCUGCCGGACCCAUCGGUGUUUUGGGGUCGGAACCGGAACCCCCGUGGAGGAUGACCUUGUACAGAAGCCCCCUACCCCUCAACGCCACGGCCGAGGCAAGCCCCCCAACCCCGCUCUCUGUCUUCCGUGUCAGCCGUGCUUGAUCCUGGGACCCUCCGGGGGCCCCGCCUCAUUGCCCGAGACCCUCCCCACCCCCAUUUCUUGGCGCUGGGAGCUAUUGUUGCCCAAGUGGAGGGGGGAGGGAGAGGGGGGCUGGCGCCACCGAACCUGCACAUCUCAACUUGUAACUCAAUAAAAAGAAGUGACAA